rnacentral:rRNA from 1 species
AGAUAAUAGAUACCCUGGUAGUCCACGCCCUAAACGAUGUCAACUGGCUUUACGGAGUAUCGACCCUCUGUGAGGCGAAAGCUAACGCGUUAAGUUGACCGCCUGGGUAGUACGACCGCAAGGUUAAAACUCAAAGGAAUAGACGGGGGCUUGCACAAGCGGUGGAGCGUGUGGCUUAAAUUCGUCGCUAAGCGAAGAACCUUACCAGGGCUAGAAAUCCUACUGCACGUCUAGCGAAAGCUAGAAAGCCUUCGAGGGUGUAGGACAGGUGAUGCAUGGCUGUCGUCAGUUCGUGGUUUGAAUCGUUCCCUUCAGUGGGGUAACGAACGCAACCCUCGUUGCCAGUUACAAGUGUCUGGCGAGACUGCCCCCUCACGGGGGAGGAAGGUGAGGAUGACGCCAAGUCAGCAUGUCCCUCUGAUGUCCUGGGCUGCACACGCGCUACAAUCGCCUUUACAAAGGGACGCAAUGCGGUAACGCGGAGCAAAUCCUUAAAAGAGGCGCCAGUUCGGAUUGGGGUCUGCAACCGACCCCAUGAAGCCGGAAUCGC